GACAGAGGUUGCAAACGUUGUUCGGAAUUACUGGGCGUAAAGCGCACGUAGGUGGUCCGCUAAGUCGGAUGUGAAAUUCCCCGGCUCAACCGGGGAACGGCAAUCGAUACUGGCGGGCUUGAGGUCCGGAGGGGUGAGUGGAACUCCUGGUGGAGCGGUGAAAUGCGUAGAUAUCAGGAGGAACACCAGUGGCGAAAGCGGCUCACUGGCCGGAAUCUGACACUGAGGUGCGAAAGCUAGGGUAGCAAACGGG
rnacentral:rRNA from 1 species